rnacentral:tRNA from 1 species
GGUGGCUCAGUGGUAGAGCGCGUGCCUCCCAUGCAUGAGGCCCUGGGCUCUAUUCCUCAGCACCA